rnacentral:rRNA from 1 species
GUGAGUAACACGUGGGCAAUCUGCCCUGCACUCUGGGACAAGCCCUGGAAAAGGGGUCUAAUACCGGAUAUGACCUUCAAGGGCAUCUUUGAAGGUGGAAAGCUCCGGCGGUGCAGGAUGAGCCCGCGGCCUAUCAGCUUGUUGGUGGGGUGAUGGCCUACCAAGGCGACGACGGGUAGCCGGCCUGAGAGGGCGACCGGCCACACUGGGACUGAGACACGGCCCAGACUCCUACGGGAGGCAGCAGUGGGGAAUAUUGCACAAUGGGCGAAAGCCUGAUGCAGCGACGCCGCGUGAGGGAUGACGGCCUUCGGGUUGUAAACCUCUUUCAGCAGGGAAGAAGCGAAAGUGACGGUACCUGCAGAAGAAGCGCCGGCUAACUACGUGCCAGCAGCCGCGGUAAUACGUAGGGCGCAAGCGUUGUCCGGAAUUAUUGGGCGUAAAGAGCUCGUAGGCGGCUUGUCGCGUCGGAUGUGAAAGCCCGGGGCUUAACCCCGGGUCUGCAUUCGAUACGGGCAGGCUAGAGUUCGGUAGGGGAGAUCGGAAUUCCUGGUGUAGCGGUGAAAUGCGCAGAUAUCAGGAGGAACACCGGUGGCGAAGGCGGAUCUCUGGGCCGAUACUGACGCUGAGGAGCGAAAGCGUGGGGAGCGAACAGGAUUAGAUAC